rnacentral:rRNA from 1 species
UUUUUGAUUAAUAAUUUAAAGUCUAAUCUGCCCACUGAUAAUAUAUUAAAGGGCUGCAGUAUUUUGACUGUACAAAGGUAGCAUAAUCAUUAGUCUCUUAAUUGGUGACUUGUAUGAAAGAUUUAAUGAGAUAUAUACUGUCUCUUUUUAAUUUGUAAAAUUUAAUUUUUUAGUUAAAAAGCUAAAAUAUAUUUAAAAGACGAGAAGACCCUAUAGAGUUUUAUAUUUAAUUAAAUUAGAAUUUUUUAUAAGAUUUAAAAUUUUAUUUUAAUUAAAUAUUUUGUUGGGGUGACAAAAAAAUUAAAAAAACUUUUUUUAUAAAUUUACAUUAAUAAAUGAGUAAAUGAUCCGUAAUUUACGAUUAAAAGAAAAAAUUACCUUAGGGAUAACAGCGUAAUUUUUUUUUUUAGUUCAAAUAAGAAGAAAAGUUUGCGACCUCGAUGUUGGAUUAAGAUAAAAUUUAAAUGCAAAAGUUUAAAAUUUUUGAUCUGUUCGAUCAUUAAAAUCUUACA